rnacentral:rRNA from 1 species
AGGACGAACGCUGGCGGCGUGCUUAACACAUGCAAGUCGAGCGAGGCCCUUCCUUCGGGAAGGUGUCCUAGCGGCGAACGGGUGAGUAACACGUGGGCAACCUGCCCAUAGCUCUGGGAUAAGCGCUGGAAACGGCGUCUAAUACCGGAUAUGACACGGGACGGCAUCAUCUCCGUGUGGAAAGAAUUUCGGCUAUGGAUGGGCCCGCGGCCUAUCAGCUUGUUGGUGAGGUAAUGGCUCACCAAGGCUACGACGGGUAACCGGCCUGAGAGGGCGACCGGUCACACUGGGACUGAGACACGGCCCAGACUCCUACGGGAGGCAGCAGUGGGGGAAUAUUGCACAAUGGGCGAAAGCCUGAUGCAGCGACGCCGCGUGAGGGAUGAAUGCCUUCGGGUUGUAAACCUCUUUCAGUAGGGACGAAGCGAAAGUGACGGUACCUGCAGAAGAAGCGCCGGCCAACUACGUGCCAGCAGCCGCGGU